AUGCUCGUGUAUGGAUGUAUAUAUCGAUCAAUUUAUUACUCGCUUUUUUUUUUUUUUUUUUUUUUUUUCUCUCACCACCCCCAACCCCCUCCCUCCUCUUUACAGAUGAAACAAAAAACAUACGUUUGCAUUAUUCAUGAAAAAAGAUUUUCAAUCAGCACUUCCAACUUUCAAGAGUAUAAAAAUAUUUACAAUGACAUAAAUAUUAUAAAUAUAGAUUGUUGGUACAAAGAGCAAUACAUUAGUUAUUGUUACCUUUUUUUAAAAAAUGAUAAAGGCAACCAUUUUAUUAACAACAUUUUAAAUAACUUUCAAAAAAAGGUAAAUUUGAACACAAUAGAAGAUGAUAUAGAAAAAGAAAUAAACAAAAAGGUAGUAAGUAAGGAAAAACAAAAAACAGAACAUAUAUUUAUAAACUCGGUUGAUUAUAUAAAUGUAGAUAAUAGUGAAAAUAAGAAAGCAGAAGCAAAAACGGACGUACCUACUAACUUAACUACUGAUGUUAGUACAAUUCCUCAAACAGAACAAUCAACAUGCGCAAAUAGCGACAAACCAAGUGAAGCGAACAAUGUAAUAGAUGAAGAAAAUAAAAAUGAGCAUGAACAAGAAUUUAAUAAACCAAUUGUAGACGAAUCAAAAGAAGGUAAAGAUGUUAAUCCAAUCAUUAAGCAAAGCAACGAGCAGUUAAAUGGGGUGGAGCUUGACCAUGUUGUUGAGAUAGAUGAAGUAAAUAGCACGGGUAUAACAAGUGUAAUAUAUGAAGAAAAAGAAGAUACAAAAAUAAGCAGCAAAUAUAAUGCGAAAAUGGCUCAAAUUAUAAAAUCUACAAAACAAGAAAAAAUAUCGAAAACUGUUGUACAAAAAAAAAAAAAAAAUGACGUAAUGAAGGCAACUCAAAAUAAAGUGAAAAAAAGAAUAAACACAAUUACUACUGCUACUGGUAUUGCUAAUGAAAAUGCAAAUGCUAGUGCUAACAAUGACAAGAAAAAUGAUAAAAAAGUAUUGAAUAAAAAAACUUUUACUGGUACCAUUAAAACGGAUAGAAAAGGAGAGAAAGUAAGCGAAAAAAACAAAAAAAUCGGCGUAAGUGACUUAGCCCAAAACAUUAGUAAAUCAGAACAGAAAAAUAUGGUAAAAACUAUAGCAUAUAAAGGUAGUGUUAAACGACAAGGUGAACACAUGAAAGGUUAUUCUAAAAGCUCAAGUGCAAAAGUAAAUUUAAAAGUAAAUCAAAAAGUAAAUCAAAAAGCAGAUCAAAAAGCAGAUCAAAAAGCAGAUCAAAAAGCAGAU
rnacentral:lncRNA from 1 species